AAUAUAUGAGCUUUUAACCUAAUUACAUCAAAGAACAAACUGCUGGAAUUUGGGGUUUCUUAGCCCAUUCCAGAUUUGUAUACCAAGUGUAUACAGUCACUGUAUGCCACGUAUAUCACUGUAUAUGUCGUAUAUUCCAUGUAUACUGAUGUAUACAGCUUGAUUUUCGAAUCUCUUCCCUCGUAUUUCAGCUUCCUUUGCUCGAACACGGGUGAGACUGACACGAAACAACUCAAGGAUAUGCAAAGAGAAGUCCAAAAUGGANNNNN
rnacentral:lncRNA from 1 species